UACGGAGGGGACUAGCGUUGUUCGGAAUUACUGGGCGUAAAGCGCACGUAGGCGGAUUUGUAAGUCAGGGGUGAAAUCCCGGGGCUCAACCUCGGAACUGCCUUUGAUACUGCAAAUCUCGAGUCCGGAAGAGGUGAGUGGAAUUCCGAGUGUAGAGGUGAAAUUCGUAGAUAUUCGGAGGAACACCAGUGGCGAAGGCGGCUCACUGGCUCGGUACUGACGCUGAGGUGCGAAAGCGUGGGGAGCAAACAGG
rnacentral:rRNA from 1 species